rnacentral:rRNA from 1 species
AGUGAACGCUGGCGGUAGGCCUAACACAUGCAAGUCGAACGGCAGCACAGUAAGAGCUUGCUCUUACGGGUGGCGAGUGGCGGACGGGUGAGGAAUACAUCGGAAUCUACUUUUUCGUGGGGGAUAACGUAGGGAAACUUACGCUAAUACCGCAUACGACCUACGGGUGAAAGCAGGGGAUCUUCGGACCUUGCGCGAUUGAAUGAGCCGAUGUCGGAUUAGCUAGUUGGCGGGGUAAAGGCCCACCAAGGCGACGAUCCGUAGCUGGUCUGAGAGGAUGAUCAGCCACACUGGAACUGGGACACGGUCCAGAAUCCUACGGGAGGCAGCAGUGGGGAAUAUUGGACAAUGGGCGCAAGCCUGAUCCAGCCAUACCGCGUGGGUGAAGAAGGCCUUCGGGUUGUAAAGCCCUUUUGUUGGGAAAGAAAAGCAGCAGGUUAAUACCCCGCUGUUCUGACGGUACCCAAAGAAUAAGCACCGGCUAACUUCGUG